CAACCUCAACUCAUAUGGGACUACCCCCCUGAAUUUAAGCAUAUUAAUUAGGGGAGGAAAAGAAACUAACUAAGGAUUUG
rnacentral:ncRNA from 1 species